rnacentral:rRNA from 1 species
UACGUAGGGUGCAAGCGUUAUCCGGAAUUAUUGGGCGUAAAGAGCUCGUAGGCGGCUUGUCACGUCGGAUGUGAAAGCCCGGGGCUUAACCCCGGGUCUGCAUUCGAUACGGGCAGGCUAGAGUGUGGUAGGGGAGAUCGGAAUUCCUGGUGUAGCGGUGAAAUGCGCAGAUAUCAGGAGGAACACCGGUGGCGAAGGCGGAUCUCUGGGCCAUUACUGACGCUGAGGAGCGAAAGCGUGGGGAGCGAACAGG